GGCUCAAUGGUCUAGUCGUAUGAUUCGCGCUUCGGGUUUAGUGCUUGAUUGCGCGAGGUCCCGGGUUCAAUUCCCGGUUGAGCCC